AACGUAGGAGACAAACGUUAUCCGGAGUUACUGGGCGUAAAGGGCGUGUAGGUGGUAGAGUAAGUCUGGCGUGAAAUUUUUCGGCUUAACCGGGAAAGGUCGUCGGAUACUGCUUAACUAGAGGACGGUAGAGGCGUGUGGAAUUCCGGGUGUAGUGGUGAAAUGCGCAGAUAUCAGGAAGAACACCCGUGGCGAAGGCGGCUCUCUGGUACGUGACUGACGCUGAGACGCGAAAGCGUGGGGAGCGAACAGG
rnacentral:rRNA from 1 species